AACUAACGCUGGCGGCGUGCCUAACACAUGCAAGUCGUACGAGAAAGCCGGCUUCGGCUGGUGAGUAAAGUGGCGCACGGGUGAGUAACGCGUGGAUAAUCUGCCCUUAAGUGUGGAAUAACGUACCGAAAGGUGCGCUAAUACCGCAUAAUGCCUGGCAACGCAAGUUGUCCGGCCAAAGAAGGCCUCUGUUUACAAGCUUUCGCUUCAGGAUGAGUCCGCGUACCAUUAGCUUGUUGGUGGGGUAAUGGCCUACCAAGGCUGCGAUGGUUAGCUGGUCUGAGAGGAUGAUCAGCCACACUGGAACUGAGACACGGUCCAGACUCCUACGGGAGGCAGCAGUGAGGAAUAUUGCGCAAUGGGGGCAACCCUGACGCAGCAACGCCGCGUGAGUGAGGAAGGUUUUCGGACUGUAAAGCUCUGUCGAGCGGGAAGAAGUGUACCAUGGCUAAUAUCCAUGAUAUUUGACGGUACCGCUAGAGG
rnacentral:rRNA from 1 species